UACGUAGGGACCAAGCGUUGUUCGGAUUUACUGGGCGUAAAGGGCGCGUAGGCGGCGUGACAAGUCACUUGUGAAAUCUCCGGGCUUAACCCGGAACGGCCAAGUGAUACUGUCGUGCUAGAGUGCAGAAGGGGCAAUCGGAAUUCUUGGUGUAGCGGUGAAAUGCGUAGAUAUCAAGAGGAACACCGAUGGCGAAGGCAGAUCUCUGGGCCGUAACUGACGCUGAGGAGCGAAAGCGUGGGGAGCGAACAGG
rnacentral:rRNA from 1 species